AGAUGUUUUAGGGAUGACGCCCGAGUGGACACUGCUCCAGAUGAAGUCACCCUAGAAGAAUCAGUGGAUAUUUCAAAGGUCGUUUGCUCAAGCGGAUGGUCUGCAGUACCACCCCAUGAUACAAGGCGUUUCCUCUCCCGUGAAGGGGGGUAUUUUGAUGAAAAUGACUGUAGUUCAGCUGUCCCAUUUCCAUUGACAAGUGAAGAAGAAUGUAGCCUAGAAUUCUUUACACCUGAUGUAUCUUCUAGUGGUUGAUUACCUCUGUCCACCUCCUCUUUUAAGUCACAUAAUUUGGUCUCAGGUAACUCAUCCAAAUCAGCAGAAGCUGAUGCAUUUUGGGGGAGACAUCCCAACGAGCAGAUCCCCAAUGAUGAGUUAUUAUGGUGCGAGCUUGGUGCAGAAGAAGGCUCAGAUGGUGACAGCAAUGGCUUGCCGGAAGUCAUAAAUACUCCUCCAAUGAAAUCGCAUUGGAAA
rnacentral:misc_RNA from 1 species